rnacentral:rRNA from 1 species
UUGCCCUACGGGAGGCAGCAGUAAGGAAUAUUGGUCAAUGGGCGGGAGCCUGAACCAGCCAAGUCGCGUGAGGGAAGAAGGUACUGAGUAUUGUAAACCUCUUUUGCCAGGGGACAAAGGCGGCCACGGGUGGCCGUAAGAGGGUACCUGGAGAAAAAGCAUCGGCUAACUCCGUGCCAGCAGCCACGGUAAUACGGAGGAUGCGAGCGUUAUCCGGAUUUAUUGGGUUUAAAGGGUGCGUAGGCGGACUGUUAAGUCAGCGGUAAAAGCCCGGGGCUCAACCCCGGCGAGCCGUUGAAACUGGC